UGUGAGCUCGAUGAGUAGGGCGGGACACGUGGUAUCCUGUCUGAAUAUGGGGGGACCAUCCUCCAAGGCUAAAUACUCCUGACUGACCGAUAGUGAACCAGUACCGUGAGGGAAAGGCGAAAAGAACCCCGGCGAGGGGAGUGAAAAAGAACCUGAAACCGUGUACGUACAAGCAGUGGGAGCACAGAGCAAUCUGUGUGACUGCGUACCUUUUGUAUAAUGGGUCAGCGACUUAUAUUCUGUAGCAAGGUUAACCGAAUAGGGGAGCCGAAGGGAAACCGAGUCUUAACUGGGCGUUAAGUUGCAGGGUAUAGACCCGAAACCCGGUGAUCUAGCCAUGGGCAGGUUGAAGGUUGGGUAACACUAACUGGAGGACCGAACCGACUAAUGUUGAAAAAUUAGCGGAUGACUUGUGGCUGGGGGUGAAAGGCCAAUCAAACCGGGAGAUAGCUGGUUCUCCCCGAAAGCUAUUUAGGUAGCGCCUCGUGAAUUCAUCUCCGGGGGUAGAGCACUGUUUCGGCAAGGGGGUCAUCCCGACUUACCAACCCGAUGCAAACUGCGAAUACCGGAGAAUGUUAUCACGGGAGACACACGGCGGGUGCUAACGUCCGUCGUGAAGAGGGAAACAACCCAGACCGCCAGCUAAGGUCCCAAAGUCAUGGUUAAGUGGGAAACGAUGUGGGAAGGCCCAGACAGCCAGGAUGUUGGCUUAGAAGCAGCCAUCAUUUAAAGAAAGCGUAAUAGCUCACUGGUCGAGUCGGCCUGCGCGGAAGAUGUAACGGGGCUAAACCAUGCACCGAAGCUGCGGCAGCGACGCUUAUGCGUUGUUG
rnacentral:rRNA from 1 species